rnacentral:rRNA from 1 species
UACGUAGGGCGCAAGCGUUGUCCGGAAUUAUUGGGCGUAAAGGGCUCGUAGGCGGUCUGUCGCGUCUGCCGUGAAAACCCGAGGCUUAACCUCGGGCUGGCGGUGGAUACGGGCAGACUAGAGGUAGGUAGGGGAGAAUGGAAUUCCCGGUGUAGCGGUGAAAUGCGCAGAUAUCGGGAGGAACACCGGUGGCGAAGGCGGUUCUCUGGGCCUUACCUGACGCUGAGGAGCGAAAGCGUGGGGAGCGAACAGG